AGUGAACGCUGGCGGCAGGCCUAACACGUGCAAGUCGAACGGCAGCACAGUAAGAGCUUGCUCUUACGGGUGGCGAGUGGCGGACGGGUGAGGAAUACAUCGGAAUCUACUUUUUCGUGGGGGAUAACGUAGGGAAACUUACGCUAAUACCGCAUACGACCUACGGGUGAAAGCAGGGGAUCUUCGGACCUUGCGCGAUUGAAUGAGCCGAUGUCGGAUUAGCUAGUUGGCGGGGUAAAGGCCCACCAAGGCGACGAUCCGUAGCUGGUCUGAGAGGAUGAUCAGCCACACUGGAACUGAGACACGGUCCAGACUCCUACGGGAGGCAGCAGUGGGGAAUAUUGGACAAUGGGCGCAAGCCUGAUCCAGCCAUACCGCGUGGGUGAAGAAGGCCUUCGGGUUGUAAAGCCCUUUUGUUGGGAAAGAAAAGCAGCAGGUUAAUACCCCGCUGUUCUGACGGUACCCAAAGAAUAAGCACCGGCUAACUUCGUG
rnacentral:rRNA from 1 species